rnacentral:rRNA from 1 species
ACUAACAGGAUUCUCCUAGUAACGGCGAGUGAACGCGGGAAGAGCUCAAAUUUAAAAUCUGGCAGUGUAUUCUGUCCGAGUUGUAGUCUAGAGAAGCAUCAUCCGUGCUGGACCAUGUACAAGUCUCUUGGAACAGAGCGUCAUAGAGGGUGAGAAUCCCGUCCUUGACAUGGACUCCCAGUGCUUUGUGUUGUGCUCUCAACGAGUCGAGUUGUUUGGGAAUGCAGCUCAAAAUGGGUGGUAAAUUCCAUCUAAAGCUAAAUAUUGGCGAGAGACCGAUAGCGAACAAGUACCGUGAGGGAAAGAUGAAAAGCACUUUGGAGAGAGAGUUAAACAGUACGUGAAAUUGUUGAAAUGGAAACGCUUGAAGUCAGUCGCGUUCUCUGGGAUUCAGCCUUGCUUUUGCUUGGUGCAUUUCCUAGUCUACGGGCCAGCAUGAAUUUUGACCAAUGGAAAAAGGCUGGGGGAAUGUGGCACCUUCGGGUGUGUUAUAGCCCCUUGUCACAUACGUUGGUUGGGAUUGAGGUCUUAGUGCACGCUUCGGUUGUGCUUUGAUGCUGGCGUAAUGGCUUUAAACGACCCGUCUUGAAACACGGACCAAGGAGUCUAACAUGUCUGCGAGUGUUUGGGUGCAAAACCCGAGCGCGUAAUGAAAGUGAUAGUUGGGAACCUUUCACGAGGGGCACCGACGCCCGGACCAGACCUUCUGUGACGGAUCCGAGGUAGAGCAUAUAUGUUGGGACCCGAAAGAUGGUGAACUAUGCCUGCAUAGGGUGAAGCCAGAGGAAACUCUGGUGGAGGCUCGUAGCGAUUCUGACGUGCAAAUCGAUCGUCAAAUGUGGGUAUAGGGGCGAAAGACUAAUCGAACCAUUGGUUAUGCUACUUGGUGGUUAAGAGGCAUCUGAAAGGAUUAGCCUAGUGAGCGUUGRGGCUUGCAACACUGUCAAAUUGCGGGGACGUCCUAAAGCUUUUGCGACCA